CAGGCACAGGGUGGCCCAGAUAAUAGUAUGACGAAUAGAACUACUUCACCGUCUGUUGAGCCCUCAGUCCUACUCAGAGCUGCUUUUUCUCUGUUAAAAGAUGUUUUGUCCUGUUAUGUUAAGUCAUCUUGACAUACUGCCAUGAAAUGGAAAUAACUGCUAGUUUUAACUUUGCUCCGUAUCAUUAUUAAAAGAGUCAUCAAUCUCAUGAGAGUCAUCUUGCCAUCUGUACCAGCGUUGCUCCAGGCUUCCAUAUGAAAGUCCAAUCUGGCGGUAUAAAUACUGGAUAAUGAAGACACUAGCAGAGUCUUUACACUGCACACCACUGCUGACCCCAGAAAUGACCCACAGGAACUACUGGCGAAAGGAGCGAAAAGGUUGGCAUCAGAACUGAAGAAGAUCAGGGAUCAGCCAACCUCUUUAACUGUGGUGAGCAGAACUGAUGUGCCUUGGAUACAGCAAACAAAAACUGGAGGCCAGAAAGAUGCCAUUUCCUUUUUCCUCUCCUACUGACCUAGCCAUUAGGACUGCACUGCUCACUCAGGUAUUCUCAGCUGA
rnacentral:lncRNA from 1 species